AACGAACGCCGGCGGCAUGCCUAACACAUGCGAGUCGAACGAGACCUUCGGGUCUAGUGGCGCACGGGUGCGUAACGCGUGGGAACCUGCCCUUAGGUUCGGAAUAACUCCCCGAAAGGGGUGCUAAUACCGGAUAAUGUCUUCGGACCAAAGAUUUAUCGCCUUUGGAUGGGCCCGCGUUGGAUUAGCUAGUUGGUAGGGUAAAAGCCUACCAAGGCGACGAUCCAUAGCUGGUCUGAGAGGAUGAUCAGCCACACUGGGACUGAGACACGGCCCAGACUCCUACGGGAGGCAGCAGUGGGGAAUAUUGGACAAUGGGCGAAAGCCUGAUCCAGCAAUGCCGCGUGAGUGAUGAAGGCCUUAGGGUUGUAAAGCUCUUUUACCCGGGAUGAUAAUGACAGUACCGGGAGAAUAAGCGCCGGCUAACUCCGUG
rnacentral:rRNA from 1 species